rnacentral:tRNA from 1 species
CGGGACGUAGCUCAGCCUGGUCAGAGCGCCGGCUUUGGGAGCCGGAUGUCGCAGGUUCGAAUCCUGUCGUCCCGACCA